rnacentral:misc_RNA from 1 species
CAAUAAGAUUAGAUCAUUAAAAAAAAAGGAGUUUAGAACUUAACUCCCUUUUCUCCAUUUCGCUUCUAUUGUUUGUUUGUUUGUAACCAAUGGUUGUGUAAAGGCGGUUAGAUGAUACUUCGUCAGAUGAUUGUACAAGGAAGGCGAUAGUUUUAUAGAAAAGAAAGAAUGGAAAAGAAUGAUAAAUAAAAAAAAAGUAAAGUAAAGAAAUUAUCGAUUGGAUCAGGCCCUUUGUGUUUUCUCCUUCAAAAUAGAUCGCUUGCCAAUUAUGCAUGGUUAGGUUCAUGAGGGCCUCUGAAAGAGGCACCCUAAUAUGGGACGGGACGAGCGAUACACGGGCCAUGUAGCUAAGGGGGCUAGGCAGACCACCAAAAGUAACGACCACCAAGAGUCAUCGUCUUUCCUUUCUUCUAUCGUAUCUGUCAAAGACACUGGCGUUUUUUUAGCUAUGCAUCACACACCUCAUGCUAAAUCGACAUACAAUCUUUUUGUAUCAUGGAAUUACCAACUUUUACACUACUAUCGAGAUUCUUCGGAACUGUAAAGGUAGCUAUUGCUGUUUGCUGUAAGAGCUAGAAAAUUUAGAUCUAGUAAGAGGACCGAAACAGAGAAUCUGGAAAUCUUUUUUUAGCGGUUUCUAAGGUUCCUUAUUCGCCCGUUAUCUCCUCAUCUUCUUCCCUGCCCCGCUAUCCAAUCUAAUUCAAGACCCAGAAAUUCGAACCUUAUAGUAUCCAGACUUUUAGACCAAGCUUUCAAGAUUAAGGGCACCCAGCUAGAAAAGCUAUAGACAUUUUUUAGGAUUCCUAUGCCCUUGCUUUCACGAAAAAAUAAAAGUCGUUGGGUCCUCUGAUGACCUAUUUAUCUUAUUAAGACAGUCCUAUUUUCGUCCAACCUUGAAUUGAGUCCCCUCCGGAGAGGGCUCCUAGCAGCAAACUUGUAU